rnacentral:rRNA from 1 species
CUACGGGUGGCUGCAGUGGGGAAUCUUGGACAAUGGGCGCAAGCCUGAUCCAGCCAUGCCGCGUGAGUGAUGAAGGCCUUAGGGUCGUAAAGCUCUUUCGCCAGGGAUGAUAAUGACAGUACCUGGUAAAGAAACCCCGGCUAACUCCGUGCCAGCAGCCGCGGUAAUACGGAGGGGGUUAGCGUUGUUCGGAAUUACUGGGCGUAAAGCGCGCGUAGGCGGAUCAGAAAGUUGGGGGUGAAAUCCCGGGGCUCAACCCCGGAACGGCCUCCAAAACUCCUGGUCUUGAGUUCGAGAGAGGUGAGUGGAAUUCCGAGUGUAGAGGUGAAAUUCGUAGAUAUUCGGAGGAACACCAGUGGCGAAGGCGGCUCACUGGCUCGAUACUGACGCUGAGGUGCGAAAGUGUGGGGAGCAAACAGGAUUAGAUACCCGGGUAGUC